rnacentral:rRNA from 1 species
UACGUAGGGUGCGAGCGUUAAUCGGAAUUACUGGGCAUAAAGCGUGCGCAGGCGGUUUUGUAAGCCAGAUGUGAAAGCCCCGGGCUUAACCUGGGAACGGCGUCCGAUACUGGGCGGCUUGGAUUCGGGAGAGGGAUGUGGAAUUCCAGGUGUAGCGGUGAAAUGCGUAGAUAUCUGGAGGAACACCGGUGGCGAAGGCGGCAUCCUGGACCGAGAUCGACGCUGAGGCGCGAAAGCUAGGGGAGCAAACGGG